GACGAACGCUGGCGGCGUGCUUAACACAUGCAAGUCGUACGGUAAGGCCCUUUCGGGGGUACACGAGUGGCGAACGGGUGAGUAACACGUGAGUAACCUGCCCACAACUUUGGGAUAACGCUAGGAAACUGGUGCUAAUACUGGAUAUGUGCUCCUGCUGCAUGGUGGGGGUUGGAAAGCUCCGGCGGUUGUGGAUGGACUCGCGGCCUAUCAGCUUGUUGGUGGGGUAGUGGCCUACCAAGGCGGCGACGGGUAGCCGGCCUGAGAGGGUGACCGGCCACAUUGGGACUGAGAUACGGCCCAGACUCCUACGGGAGGCAGCAGUGGGGAAGAUUGAACAAGGGGCGCAAGCCUGAUGCAGAAACGCCGCGUGCGGGAUGACGGCCUUCGGGUUGUAAACCGCUUUCAGCAGGGACGAAGCUUUUUGUGACGGUACCUGCAGAAGAAGCACCGGCUAACUACGUG
rnacentral:rRNA from 1 species